UCCUUCACCCUUUGAAGGAUAUGAUAGGGUUCUUUUUUUUUCUUGUAAAUUUAAGUUCCUUGUAGAUUCUGGAUAUUAGCCCUUUGUCAGAUGGGCUUUUUCUCCCGACCAGCUCGAGCAUCCCAGGUUGACUUCAGACUGCUGUGCUGCCUGAAUUUCAAACCGGUAUAGCUUAGCUUGCUGGGCUCUGUAGAGGUGGGAUUCACUGAGCAAGACCGCUUGGCUCCCUGGCUUCAGCCCCCUUUCCAGGGGAGUGAACAGUUCUGUCUCGUUGCACUCCAGGUGCUACUGUGGUGCAAAAAAACAAAAACAAAAACAAAAAACUCCUGCAGAUAACUUGGUGUAUGCCCAAAUAGCCACCCAGUUUUGUGCUUAAUACCCAGGGCCCUGGUGGUGUAGGCACCUGAGAAAAUCUCCUGGUCUGUGGGUUGCAAAGACCAUGGGAAAAGCAUGAUAUCUGGGCCAGAUGGCUCCAUCCCUCAUGGCAUGGUCCUUCACAGCUUUCCUUGGCUAGGGUAGGGAGUUCCCCAACUCCUUGCACUUCCCAGGUGAGACGAUGCCCCACCCUGCUUCAGCUUACCCUCCGUGGGCUGCACCCACUGGCUAACUAGUCCCAAUAAGGUGAGUUGGGUACCUCCUUUGGAAAUGCAGAAAUCACCCACCUUCUGCGUUGGUCUCAUUGGGAGUUGUAGACCCGAGCUGUUCCUAUUUGGCCAUCUUGCUGGGGAAUCCUUGAUUUUUUUUCUUAUUGAGAACUUCACUCUUUCACUUAAAAGAAGCACUUUAUGUCUUCUCUUUGUUAUAUCCAAAUUGCCAGCAUAACUACUGUUGCACUGUGGGGCUGUGGUUAAGUAAAACAAGGGUUACCUGAACACUAGGCACUGUGAUGAUGUGACAGCUGAUCUGAUAACUGAGAUGGCUACUAAGUAACUAACAGGUAGAUAGUGUGUACAGCUUGGCUACACUAGACAGGGGGAUGAUUCAUGUCCUAGCUGGAAUGGUGGGAGAUUUUAUCACACUACUCAGAAUGAUAGGCAAUUUAAAAAUUAUGAAUUAUUUGUGAAAUUUUCUAUUUAAUAUUUUCAGACUGAGGUUGACUAGGGGUAACUCAAACUAUUGUGAAAAAUGAAACUGUGGAUAAGGGGGGACUGCUGUAGUAAAUUGGCCUGUUAUUAUUUCAUGGAUGCUAGCAGAAGACUUUAUUACUCGUAGCACAGGAAGGGGCAUGCACUCCAAGUCCCAUAGAGGAGAUGAAGGAGAGCCUAGUUGGAUGCUGGGAUGGAUGCGCUGGGUUUGUGACGUAGGCGAGGAACUUUGAGCCUGUUAUCACUUUUAUCAUGAAUGGCGGGAAGGUCUGCUCUUGGAUUGGAAGGAGACGGUACUGAGGGAAUGUGUUCUCUAUCUGGGUCCAUGAGGGGGUGUAGCUUUAAGGGCAAAAAUUUCCUGGUGCCAUGCCCCACUCCCAUCUCUCUCCAUCCAGGAGAUUCAAGGGUUUAUGUUUGAAUUUUGCGGGCGCGGGAAGAAACUAAAAAAUGACUCCAGCGGAAGUUCUAAGGAACUCCUUUCAUUGGCCCAGGGUCUUGGAGAAGGUGGGGGUUCCUCCCAGGAUAAAUGUCCUAUCCCACACACCUGGACGGAUUUCCCCUCUGGAAUCCUCUUCCACACUCUUUGUGGAAGACUUUCUCUUCUCCUCCUUUCUUUCUCUACCUAAAUAAAAUCACCUUUCUGCAACACUUUUUGGGUCCGAUAUUCGCUUUACGAGCAUAUGGCCCACCUGCAGUGGCCCCACCACUUAUUCCUUAAGAGGUUGGAGGCCAAGAACCCACAAUGAUCACCGGCAUCCAAGAAAAAACACAGUUACAGAAUCUCAUCCCUCAAGGUUGCUUACUGCAAACACAACUCUGGGAAAUGGCCCAGCUACAAGCAGUCAGGGCUUGUGACCUUGUCCUAACCAGCAAGAUUGUGCAGGAAGACUUGGCUCAUGGUGGAUUGACUCUCCCAACAUGUGUUGCUUAAGGUGACUAGGUUUUUCUUGUUGGUCAUGAUACACUUUAUUUCUAAUUUCAAGAAAGGGUAAGCAGGAGACUAUAUUCCAAUAUGGUUGAACCAGCCUUCUAACCCUAGAGAUACUUGAGUUCUGAUCCUUCCUGGGGUAGCCUAGAGAGGAACAUCCUCAUCUACAGCAGUUUUGGAAGAUCAGACUGUUCCUUAAAUGUGUCUUACUUGAGGGAAUUAAACUUCCAGCACCAUUCUAGGGUUUGGAGUUGUUCUUUACUUUUUUUGAAACAUUUGAUAUAUACCACAGAAUAUAUUUAUAUUAAAUUCAAGUUAUGGAGCAUAAUAACAUGAACACCAACAAAUCUCCCACUAAACUUAAGAAUUAUGUUAUGACAAUAUUCCUGAAGCUCCCUGGGGGUUCUCGUCCCUAUCUGUUGAGUGAAUCCAAAUAGCUAAGGCUGGGCUGGCAUUGACCUCAUGUCUCAGCAGUCCCGAGGAUUAAAAGGACCCCACAAAUGGAAUGGACUGGACUACUGGAAUAGAAGAUGAUGUCUGAGUAGGAUGUUCAAAGAUGAAGUUUAAAAAAAAAUCCUGAUUGAAAUACCAUGUCUAAAUAACAUCUUUAGCCUGUGAUUGAGUCUUUUGGCUAUUUUUCUAUUUAAUGGCACCUCUAUGAAAAGGAUAAAUAGAAGAAUUAAAGCAAAACAUGUAUUAAGGUAAAGCCUACUAAAAUCUUACUGGAGUUUCUUCUAUAUUUUUUGAUUAAAAAAAGAUAAAUCACAGCUCAAUAAUUCCUUGUUAAUGUUUUUUUCUUUUGGGGGAAAAGACCACUCUCGAUUCAACCCCAUCUCUUAUACCACUGGUCAGGAUCUCAAUCCUGGCUGAACAUUGGAUUCAUCCAGGGGCUUUUGAAUGUUUGGGUGCCACCUCAGACCUUUACAGAGUUGUUAUUUUAAUCUCUCCAGGGGACUGCAAUGCAUGGCCUGGAGUGAGAAUCAUUUUUUUCCUUUCUUUUUCUGUGAUGCUACAUAAUUAUAACUGGUGAUUGUGAUUUAAUAUAAUCUACGUUGGAGAUAGAAACCAAUCAAGUUUUCAAUUAAUAGUAAGCCAAUCAGGAUAUGAAAUUAAAUUAACUGCUGGAGUCUGAUUAAUCAAAUGUAUAAAAGGCCUCAAAUCAAAAGGUUUUCUUUUUUUAACUAAUUACUUUGGUUCAAAUUGUGAUGGUGAAGAUUCAUGCUACUAGUUAUAAUGAUAUUUUCAGAUUAUCAACAAAUUUCAAUUUCUUUCUAGCCUGUGUUAGGAUAAUAGAUGAAUGGUAAACUAUCAUUCAUGUAAAAAUGAAUAGUUCCUUAAAAUGCCACUAGGUGGCACACCUUGACUAAUUUUAUAUCACCUUAGUGGCUGCAAAAGCAUUUUGAGAAUGAGGAAAGAACACAUUCUAUAGGUUCGUGCUAUGCUACAGUGUUAUGUAGGCAAAGCAGUUAUGGUCAAUAUAAAGAUUCGUUGGGCAGAUGUUUAUUUAUUGUUUAUUGUGUUCAACAAACUAAAGAUUUUAAAAAAAUACAUGAGAUCUAGACUUUGACCUUUAUGUCUAUUGUUAGACUUUGGUGUUAAGAAAAUGAGGCAUAGCUAUAAUCCAAAAAAUAUAGUUAUUUAAUAUGUAGAGGCUGGGAAGAGUAGCUCACACCUAUACCCCUGGUCAAAACAGUGAAACCCCAUUUCUACAAAAAAAAAAAAAAAAAAAAAAA